AUGUGUUCAGCCGCUUUUCUUUUCUCUUUCUCUCUUCUUUUCUCCCCCACCUCCCUGCCCGCAGACCGGCGGUCCUGGCGAUGCCGUGCGCCCCCUGAGCCAGCCGGGGUCACCCUGGCUGGUGCCAUGGCCAGGCUGCAGGUAUGGACACAGCACAAGAGCUGCUCCCACACCCCCCAGUCCUCCCAGCACCCACGGCACAUCAGGGAGCAGCACAGGUUGUGCUGGGAGUGCCCCUGCUCUGAGGUGGGUGCCCCUGCUCUGAGGUGGGUGCUGAUUUGUGCCCCGUGCUGCAGAACUGGGGGAGGCUGCUUUGCCCAGGGUGAGCAGGGCACAAGGAACUUCAUAUGCAGGUGUAUGGGAUGGGACCAGCAUCUCAGCAGGCCUCGGCCUGCUAGAAGGGGAGGUUCCCCUUUGAAAAUUAUUUUGGGGAGAGCUCGUCCAGUUGCAUGGAGGGUCCCCACUCCAUUUGGCAGGAGGACAGGGUGGUGCCAGACAUCAUGGGGACAUCACAGGCGUGUGAUGUCACCUGGCACAGCUCAGGGGCACACGGGGACUCCAGACUCACAGGGGCCUUGGGGAGCUCAGGGAGGGUGGCUUCAGGGCUCUCUCCUCUCUGUGGGGAAAUGUCCCCUUUUUGUCAUCCUUCCUGUUUCUGCAGCCUCGAGUGCACGCCCCUGCCUUCCCUCCGGCACUUCCCUAUCCGCCAGCCCCAGCAGCCCCGUGGGGAGGCCUGGCACUGGGGCAGCUGGUGGCAGCCUCACAGCACCCAGCCCCUGCCAGCGUGGAGAGGUGGGGGUGGCAGGGCCAUUAAAGGGUGCUGGGAAAUCAUCCCUGCAGAUCCAAAUCCAGACCAUGACAGCAGUGCCUUUCAGUGUCCAUCGCAGUGUGCUGGUGUUACCUUUUGCCAAUCCAAAUAUGCUGAGCUUGGCUUUUGGUGCCAGCCCAGAUGUGCUGGCAUUGGUACCAACAAGGAUCACACCAGCAGCACCUCUUGGUGCCAUCAGACAAGGUCCCUGUGGUCCCUGUGCAGGCCCACAGUUCCUUUCUCCCUUUUCCCCAUGGCACAGCACACUCCUCCAGAAUGGCCCUGGGUGUGUCCACAUCACCCAGGGUGGGCAGAGACCUGAUCCUGCUCCUGGCCAGGUGCUGAGUAUGGGAAGGGGAUCUCCUGCCAGGGGAUUCCACUCCCUCCUGCUGCCUCUCCAGGGUGUGUUGGCUCAGCCACUUGCAGGUCAGCUCUGGCCAACGAGCAAAGUGAAGUACCUGGAUGUCCCCACAGAGCAAAGCCACACUCUGUCCCCACAUCCUGGUCCCUCAGCCACCCCCAGUCCAACUGUUCCAUAG
rnacentral:lncRNA from 1 species